rnacentral:rRNA from 1 species
AGUGAACGCUGGCGGUAGGCCUAACACAUGCAAGUCGAACGGCAGCACAGAGGAGCUUGCUCCUUGGGUGGCGAGUGGCGGACGGGUGAGGAACACAUCGGAAUCUACUCUGUCGUGGGGGAUAACGUAGGGAAACUUACGCUAAUACCGCAUACGACCUACGGGUGAAAGCAGGGGACCUUCGGGCCUUGCGCGAUUGAAUGAGCCGAUGUCGGAUUAGCUAGUUGGCGGGGUAAAGGCCCACCAAGGCGACGAUCCGUAGCUGGUCUGAGAGGAUGAGCAGCCCAACGGGAACGGAGACAAGGUCAAGACACCUAAGGGCGGCAGCAGUGGGGACUAUUGGUCAAUGGGCGCAAGCCUGAUCCAGCCAUACCGCGUGGGUGAAGAAGGCCUUCGGGUUGUAAAGCCCUUUUGUUGGGAAAGAAAUCCAGCUGGUUAAUACCCGGUUGGGAUGACGGUACCCAAAGAAUAAGCACCGGCUAACUUCGUGCCAGCAGCCGCGGUAA